UACGUAGGGCGCAAGCGUUGUCCGGAAUUAUUGGGCGUAAAGAGCUCGUAGGCGGUCUGUCGCGUCUGUUGUGAAAACUCGAGGCUCAACCUCGGGCUUGCAGUGGAUACGGGCAGACUAGAGUGCGGUAGGGGAGACUGGAAUUCCUGGUGUAGCGGUGGAAUGCGCAGAUAUCAGGAGGAACACCGAUGGCGAAGGCAGGUCUCUGGGCCGCAACUGACGCUGAGGAGCGAAAGCGUGGGUAGCAAACAGG
rnacentral:rRNA from 1 species